rnacentral:rRNA from 1 species
GUGGGGAAUAUUGGGCAAUGGGGGAAACCCUGACCCAGCAACGCCGCGUGAAGGAAGAAGGUUUUCGGAUCGUAAACUUCUAUCCUUGGUGAAGAUAAUGACGGUAGCCAAGAAGGAAGCCCCGGCUAACUACGUGCCAGCAGCCGCGGUAAUACGUAGGGGGCAAGCGUUGUCCGGAAUGAUUGGGCGUAAAGGGCGCGUAGGCGGCCUGGUAAGUCUGGAGUGAAAGUCCUGCUUUUAAGGUGGGAAUUGCUUUGGAUACUGUCGGGCUUGAGUGCAGGAGAGGUAAGCGGAAUUCCCGGUGUAGCGGUGAAAUGCGUAGAGAUCGGGAGGAACACCAGUGGCGAAGGCGGCUCACUGGCUCGAUACUGACGCUGAGGUGCGAAAGCGUGGGGAGCAAACAGGAUUAGAUACCCGUGUAGUCC